rnacentral:rRNA from 1 species
GCUACAGGCUUAACACAUGCAAGUCGAGGGGCAUCACAGAGAUAGCUUGCUAUCUUGGGUGGCGACCGGCGCACGGGUGAGUAACGCGUAUCCAACCUGCCCAUUACUCAGGGAUAGCCUUGCGAAAGUAAGAUUAAUACCUGAUGUUGUUUGAUUGCCGCAUGACGAUCAAACCAAAGAUUUAUUGGUAAUGGAUGGGGAUGCGUGACAUUAGGUAGUUGGUGAGGUAACGGCUCACCAAGCCCACGAUGUCUAGGGGUUCUGAGAGGAAGGUCCCCCACACUGGAACUGAGACACGGUCCAGACUCCUACGGGAGGCAGCAGUGAGGAAUAUUGGUCAAUGGUCGGAAGACUGAACCAGCCAAGUAGCGUGAAGGAUGAAGGUUCUAUGGAUUGUAAACUUCUUUUAUAUAGGAAUAAAACCUCCCACGUGUGGGAGCUUGUAUGUACUAUAUGAAUAAGCAUCGGCUAACUCCGUG